UGGGCGUAAAGGGUGCGUAGGCGGCGCGGUAAGUCGGGCGUGAAAUCUCGGAGCUUAACUCCGAAACUGCAUUCGAUACUGCCGUGCUUGAGGACUGGAGAGGAGACUGGAAUUUACGGUGUAGCGGUGAAAUGCGUAGAUAUCGUAAGGAAGACCAGUGGCGAAGGCGGGUCUCUGGACAGUUCCUGACGCUGAGGCACGAAGGUCAGGGGAGCAAACGGGAUUAGAUACCCCGGUAGUCCUGACAGUAAACGGUGCACGUUUGGUGUGGGAGGAUUCGACCCCUUCUGCGCCGGAGCUAACGCGUUAAACGUGCCGCCUGGGGAGUACGGUCGCAAGAUUAAAACUCAAAGAAAUUGACGGGGGCCCGCACAAGCGGUGGAGUAUGUGGCUCAAUUCGAUGCAACGCGAAGAACCUUACCAGGCCUUGACAUGCAUCUCUAAGUUGGUGAAAGCCAGCGAGUCCCGAAAGGGACAAUUUGCACAGGUGCUGCAUGGCUGUCGUCAGCUCGUGUCGUGAGAUGUUGGGUUAAGUCCCGCAACGAGCGCAACCCCUGUGAACUGUUGCCACCGAGCCGUGAGGCUCGAGCACUCUGUUCAGACUGCCCCGCUCUAACGGGGAGGAAGGUGGGGACGACGUCAAGUCAGUAUGGCCCUUACGGCCUGGGCUGCACACGUACUACAAUGCCCAGCACAGAACGAUCCAAGACCGCGAGGUGGAGGAAAUCUCUAGAACUGGGCCCAGUUCAGAUUGAAGUCUGCAACUCGACUUCAUGAAGCCGGAAUCGCUAGUAAUGGCGCAUCAGCUACGGCGCCGUGAAUACGUUCCCGGGCCUUGUACACACCGCCCGUCACAUCAUGGGAGUCGCUUGUAGCCGAAG
rnacentral:rRNA from 1 species